rnacentral:rRNA from 1 species
GUCUUCGACGUCCGAGUUGUAAUUUGAAGAAGGCGACUUUGUAGCUGGUCCUUGUCUAUGUUCCUUGGAACAGGACGUCAUAGAGGGUGAGAAUCCCGUGUGGCGAGGAUCCCAGUUAUUUGUAAAGUGCUUUCGACGAGU